ACCUUUUUUAUUUUUCUAAAAUCUAUAAUGCUAUGACAAAUACAAAUUUAUCUGGCCCCGCAAUUCAGGGGAGCAUUAAUUUCAAUAUAUAGCCAUAGUUGUUCUCCAAUUUCGGAAUAUUUUAGGAUGUAUAAAAAUUCUUGCAUAGAUUUUACUUUAUAUUUGCCUUUUCAAUUCAAUGGGACCAUAUAAAGAUGAAAUUAUCAAAUCCAUGUGAUAGCUUUCAUGUGGUGUACUGGGAGUCUUCAACAAUCCUUUUGGCAUGAUAUUUGGACUCUUAUUAACUAGCAACUCCAAUUUAUGAAGAUAUUAAACAAGUUAUUCAAAGCAUAAAUCCUGAAUAUCUCGGCAACAGUGACCCAGGUUUGUGCUGGCGGCCAAUAGUAUCAAAACUAUACAUUGCUAGAAAGGAUUACAUGUGGUUAGCUAGGCAUAAAUUUAGAUAGAAUGAUCAGAAUAGGUGGAAAUGGUUGUGAAAAAUUAAUUUUUUUGAAAAAAGUUAAAAUUUUCAUUUGGCUAUUGGCUUGACUUACAUUCGAUCCUUCCAACGGAACGGAAAUGUUUCACACUUUCACUUUAGGCGUCAUCUCUCUGCUGCAGACUACUGUCCGAGAUGUGGGUUAGAUAAGAAGACAGUGGAAAAUUGUGUAAGAGAUUGUGAGAAAUCUAGAGUUUUAUGUAAAUUGUUGGAUUCUUCAAUUUUUAAUGUUGUAAUCAGUAGUUUUGGCUCUUGAAUUUGAAAGGUGCUGUUUGGCAGAGAAUUAAUUCUUGGAAUUAGGUUGUAGUGGAUAUGAAGAUACCCUUGUAAUAAUAUUUUUAAUCCAGAUAAUUUUUGGUAUGAUAAUAAGACUGUUGUCAAUGCCAGAAUCA